rnacentral:misc_RNA from 1 species
GAUGAAGAACGCAGCGAAUUGCGAUAAGUAAUGUGAAUUGCAGAUUUUCAGUGAAUCAUCGAAUCUUUGAACGCACCUUGCGCUCCUUGGUAUUCCGAGGAGCAUGCCUGUUUGAGUGUCAUUUAAUUCUCAACCAUCCCUCGAUUUGUUUCGAGGUUUGGCUUGGAUUUUGGGAGCUGCCGGGCGACCCUACGGUCUUCGGCUCUCCUUAAAAGCAUUAGCGAUGGUGGAACGACCUAACUCCAUGCAUGAACGGCCUUCGACGUGAUAAUGAUCGUCGUGGCUGGAGUGCUAGCGGGCGUCGUGAAGCCAGCGCUUCUAAAUCUCUCGUCGAAAGACGAAACUCGAAACUUGACCUCAAAUCAGGUAGGACUACCCGCUGAACUUAAGCAUAUCAAUAAGCGGAGGA